UAUGUUUUAGGUUUUUACUUUGGUUGUUAGAAAAAUUUUUUUUAGUAGUUUGAGCGAAUUUUAUUGGUUUCCUAGAGAGGAUUGAGUACUGAGAAGGAAAGUUAAAUUAUUUAUUUGGAAUAUUGGGUUUUUUAGUACCUUUUGUAUUAGGGUUGAUUUAUGUGGUUUUGCUUUUGUUAUUUCUCGAUGAGUAUCGGGCUAUUUUUCUUUGGUUUAUUCUCGUUGUAUAGAGUUGAAUAGAGGAUUAUAGGUAUGAAAUAUUAUUCAAGUUGCUUUUUAUCUGGUUCUUCAAGAAAUUUAAUAGUUGGUAGUAUUAUUAGGACGAUAGACAGGGAUUAGCUUGUUUAUUUUUUAUAUUUGGUUUAGGUUGAAGUUUGUUUGUUAAGUUGAUAGUGCUUAUUUUAAUGGAGUUAUUAUUGAGCAGGUUGAUUUUAUUAUUUUUUGUUUUUAUUUUUGUAUUGGGGUUAUUUUAUUAAUUUUUAGUGUUUUGUAAUAAUGAUUAUAUUAGUAAUAAUUUUUUGUUAUUUUUUUAGUUUUCUGGUUUUAUUGUUAUUUUGGUGGUGUUUUAAAUUAGAACUGAUGAAUUAGGCAAUACGAACUUCUGACUGUUUAGCAAAGACAUUGUUUUUUGUUGUGGUAAAAAAUAAGUUCUGUCCACUGCUAUUAGGUGAAGGGCUGCAGUAUUUUGACUGUAUGAAGGUAGCAUAAUCAUUAGCUUUUUAAUUAGAAGCUGGUAUGAAGGUGAAACAGGGGUUUGCUGUAUUUUUUCUAUUUGUUGAAUUUUAUUUUCAUGUGAAAAAUCAUGAUUGAUUUAAUGGGACAAGAAGACCCUAAUAAGUUUUAUUUUUUUUCUUAAUGCGUGUAUAGUUUUGGAUUUAUGCAAUUUAUUUGGGGGGAGUUUGGCUGGGGCGGCAGUUUAUUUGACAUAGAUUAAUUUUUAACUUUUUGUGGCGACUUGUUUGGACCUAGUUUGUUUAGAUUAGAGUUAAACUACUGUAGGGAUAACAGCGUGAUUUUUUUUGAGAGUUCUAAUUGACAAUAAAGUUUGCGACCUCGAUGUUGGAUUAAGAAGAGCGUUGGC
rnacentral:rRNA from 1 species